UACAGAGGUCUCAAGCGUUGUCCGGAAUUAUUGGGCGUAAAGAGCUCGUAGGCGGUGUGUCGCGUCGGCCGUGAAAACCUGCAGCUUAACUGUGGGCUUGCGGUCGAUACGGGCAUCACUGGAGUUCGGCAGGGGAGACUGGAAUUCCUGGUGUAGCGGUGAAAUGCGCAGAUAUCAGGAGGAACACCGGUGGCGAAGGCGGGUCUCUGGGCCGAUACUGACGCUGAAUAGCGAAAGCGUGGGUAGCGAACAGG
rnacentral:rRNA from 1 species